UUACUAUAGUGAAAGUGUUUGUCUGCCAUGUAGUAGUAAUGUGUAUAGAUUAUAUGUUUAUACUGUAUUAUAGUCAUGAUAAUGUGUGUGAGUGUGUGUUUCUGUGUGUCUGAUGUGUUAGGUGCGUAGUCUGGACUGGAGACGAUCGUGUGUUUUUCUUCAAUCCCACAAUGCACCUGUCUGUAUGGGAAAGACCCUGCGAUUUGAUUGGUCAGGACAUCGGGCCGUAUCAUCAUGGACCCGCCCCACAAGAGGAAGAAGAAUUCUGGUUACAAGAUUUGUCCUUGUCAUGAUGAUGAUGAUGAUGAUGAUGAUGAUGAAGAUGGACAUGACUCAAAGAGAAGCAGGCUAGAGGAACCAUUGUCUCUCGUCAAGGAAGGCCAGGAGGACAAGCUCCUCCCACUUGAGAUGCGCGUCUCCAAGUUUAGAGACAUGAUGCUGGAGAGAGGGGUGUCUGCCUUCUCUUCGUGGGAGAAGGAUCUUCAUAAGAUGGUUUUUGAUCCCAGAUAUCUUCUGCUCAGCCAGACCAGAGGAAAGAGGUAUACGAUCAGUUUGUGAAGAGCCGGAUCAAGGAGGAGUACAAGGAGAAGAAGACGAAACUGCUGAAGGCCAAAGACCAGUUUAAACUGCUUCUGGAGGGAGGCUCAGAUCACCAGCAAGUAAGUACCAACUAACUAACUGACCAAUUUGGUUAGUGUUUUAACAGUCGGGUGCGUUAAAUCUCUUCCUCCCUCCAGGUCCACCUUCAAGCAGUUUCUGUGUGGGUUACCGCGGCGACCACCGCUUCCACGCCUUCAGCAGGAAGAAGGAGCAGGGAAGUUAUCUUUAAACAAUACAUCAGUUCCUUGAAGAGGAGGGACAAAGAGAACAGAGUGCGACUGAGCAGAAUGCGGUGAGGGCC